ACGCUGGCGGCAGGCCUAACACAUGCAAGUCGAGCGGUAGAGAGAAGCUUGCUUCUCUUGAGAGCGGCGGACGGGUGAGUAAUGCCUAGGAAUCUGCCUGGUAGUGGGGGAUAACGCUCGGAAACGGACGCUAAUACCGCAUACGUCCUACGGGAGAAAGCAGGGGACCUUCGGGCCUUGCGCUAUCAGAUGAGCCUAGGUCGGAUUAGCUAGUUGGUGAGGUAAUGGCUCACCAAGGCGACGAUCCGUAACUGGUCUGAGAGGAUGAUCAGUCACACUGGAACUGAGACACGGUCCAGACUCCUACGGGAGGCAGCAGUGGGGAAUAUUGGACAAUGGGCGAAAGCCUGAUCCAGCCAUGCCGCGUGUGUGAAGAAGGUCUUCGGAUUGUAAAGCACUUUAAGUUGGGAGGAAGGGCAGUAAAUUAAUACUUUGCUGUUUUGACGUUACCGACAGAAUAAGCACCGGCUAACUCUGUGCCAGCAGCCGCGGUAAUACAGAGGGUGCAAGCGUUAAUCGGAAUUACUGGGCGUAAAGCGCGCGUAGGUGGUUCGUUAAGUUGGAUGUGAAAUCCCCGGGCUCAACCUGGGAACUGCAUUCAAAACUGUCGAGCUAGAGUAUGGUAGAGGGUGGUGGAAUUUCCUGUGUAGCGGUGAAAUGCGUAGAUAUAGGAAGGAACACCAGUGGCGAAGGCGACCACCUGGACUGAUACUCGCACUGAGGUGCGAAAGCGUGGGGAGCAAAC
rnacentral:rRNA from 1 species